UACGUAGGGUGCAAGCGUUGUCCGGAAUUAUUGGGCGUAAAGGAGCUUGAUAGGCGGGUUUGGUCGGCCGUUCUGCUGUAGAAAUUUCGGGGCGUCAACCCCGAACCGUUGCAGGUGGGUACGGGCAGACUAGAGUGUGGUAGGGGAGACUGGAAUUCCGUGGUGUAGCGGUGAAAUGCGCAGAUAUCGAGGAGGACGACCGAGUGGCGAAGGCAGGUCUCUGGCCACUACUGACGCUGAAGAGCGGAAAGCAUGGGGAGCGAACAGG
rnacentral:rRNA from 1 species